GCACAAGCGGUGGAGCAUGUGGUUUAAUUCGAAGCAACGCGAAGAACCUUACCAGGUCUUGACAUCCUCUGACAAUCCUAGAGAUAGGACUUUCCCCUUCGGGGGACAGAGUGACAGGUGGUGCAUGGUUGUCGUCAGCUCGUGUCGUGAGAUGUUGGGUUAAGUCCCGCAACGAGCGCAACCCUUAUUCUUAGUUGCCAGCAUUAAGUUGGGCACUCUAAGGAGACUGCCGGUGACAAACCGGAGGAAGGUGGGGAUGACGUCAAAUCAUCAUGCCCCUUAUGACCUGGGCUACACACGUGCUACAAUGGAUGGUACAAAGGGCUGCAAAACCGUGAGGUCAAGCCAAUCCCAUAAAACCAUUCUCAGUUCGGAUUGUAGGCUGCAACUCGCCUACAUGAAGCCGGAAUCGCUAGUAAUCGUGGAUCAGCAUGCCACGGUGAAUACGUUCCCGGGC
rnacentral:rRNA from 1 species